GUUUUUAUUGGGACCUUUUCACGAGCCCCCAUUUUCCAAUUGGCGAACCAACCCCAUAGGAUUAGUCACUGGGAAAUCCUCAGGGAAACACAGACUGAUUUUAGACCUAUCAGCACCUCACUCCUUGGCCAUACCAAGCCUCAAUUCCCUAAUUCCAUCCGAGGAAUUUUCACUCCAGUACGCCACUAUAGACAACUCUAUACACACCAUCAUCACAGCUGGUGUAGGUGCUUGGCUCAGUAAAAC